UACAGGGGGGGGCAAGCGUUGUUCGGAAUCACUGGGCGUAAAGGGCGCGUAGGUGGUGACCUAAGCGUGCGGUGAAAGCCCGAGGCUCAACCUCGGGUCGGCCGUGCGAACUGGGUCACUGGAGCAGAAUAGAGGCAGGUGGAAUUCCGGGUGUAGCGGUGGAAUGCGUAGAGAUCCGGAAGAACACCGGUGGCGAAGGCGGCAUCCUGGACCAAUAUUGACGCUGAGGAGCGAAAGCCAGGGGAGCAAACGGG
rnacentral:rRNA from 1 species